rnacentral:rRNA from 1 species
CCCGCAUCUCCAUCGACCUAGCCGCCUCCACCCUCGUGCAUCCUCCCGCGUCAAUCGCGCCCAAACCUCCUCAUCUCGGAUCCCGUGGGACCGAGGUGCGGGCAUGGAGGCGAGCUUCCCUGGCGGCCGCGGCGACCUGCAGGCAAAGGGUGACGGCGGCGGCGGCGCUCGAUUAGAUCUGCGGGAGAGAGAGGAUGAGAGGGAGUGAUAAGGAAGAAGAUGAGAGGGAGAGAGAGAGAGAGAGAGAGGAAAGGGGAGAGGGAGGGCUUCUACGUCGCCGCUCUCUGGAUGCACGCCAUCCACCCGCGCACGCUAGCCGCCAACCUCGCCGGCUUCGCCAGGUUCGGCUGCCUCAAGGACCUCCCCGAGAUCCUCUAUCGUUUCCUCCACGGCCCCCGCGAUGAGCGCAAGGACUAGGACAACGUCGCCGCGGCGGCCCCGGGGGCAAGAGCGGCAAGCGGCGCUGCGUCGGCGGCCUUGCCGCCGCCGCGGCUGAGGCCUCCAAGGCCCGGCGCGAGAAGGAGGCGGAGCACGCGCAGGCCGUGCUCGCGCGCUACGACUCUGACGAGGCCUUCCGCAACCUCUACGACGGCGUCGCCGACCUCUUCGCCGGGCUGCUCAAGUCGGACCAGGAGCACCUGCACGCGGGCGACACGGCCAAGAUCGUGUUCGCCGCCAAGUGGUGCCCGUCGCCGCGCUCGUCGUACGACCGCGCGACGCUGCUCUGCGAGGCCAUCGCGCGCCGGGUCUUCCCGCGCGACUCGAGCCCCGAGUACCUCGCUAUCCCCGACAAGCACUACGCCUACCGCGUCCGCAACCGGCUCCGCCGCGAGGUGCAGGUGCCGCUCCGCAAGGUGCUCGAGCUCCCCGAGGUCUACAUGAGCGCCGGCAAGUGGGACGAGCUGCCCUGCGCGCGCGCUUGGCGUCCACGGCCAUGCGCCAGUACAAGAGGCGUCCUGGCUGUGCUUCUUUCUUCUGGUCCAUGGACAUUGUCAUAAUGGUCACCUUAUCGCAGUGUAUUAUUUUUGGAUCUCAUAUUCCUCAAGGCGCGCCAUCCUCUGAUUCGAUGUCGGCCGAUCUGAGAAAUAAGAGGAGGAAUAAUCCAGCAGAAGAAUUUGGUGAAGAAGAACAAGAAAAGAAUACCUUUAUCCUGAUAGGCAUGGAAACACCGGUUCGCAUUGAGUGCAUCAUCGCUAAUCAGCUACUAUGUAUGGUCAGCGGACAUGCUUGCUUAUUCCUGUAACAUAUCAUUACUCUAUCUGCUUAGCCUUUCUAACUUUUAAGAUUUGAUCAAUUCUUUAGAAGUUCGUACAGAUCUAGAAGUAUUUGGUUUUGUUGGUCAAAUCCAUUACCUGUAUGUCCUUAUUUAUUUUAUUGUUCGAACAAGAUAUCAGAUCACCUACAUUCAUUAUUCUUGAUUACAGUCUCAUACUAAAGUAGUCUAAAAUGGUCUGAAUAGUUGUAGUAAUUCAUAAAUAUUUUCAGUGUAGUUCUUAUUUGGUUUCUAGGCAUAGAAUUUACUUCAAAAUUUUGAUCUUUAUUUGGUUAGUAAGGCUCUAGAAUAAAACAGACCAAUGAUAUAUAUACAAACAGACACAAUAGGAGUUAACUGGUACCUAGCUUUUGAAACCUCUGAUAUAUACAAAAUAUUAUUUGAGUAGAACAGGAGAGAUGCAAUCUUAUGGAUAUUUCCGCAUUUGUAAGAAACUUUCCAGCUUGGCAAGAGGGCUUGACUAGCCAUGUGUAGGACUCAGCCAUGCUGCCUUCCAAAUGAUUAGUCAUUGGUGUUUUCUUAUGUUCGUGUUAGCCCAAGUGCAUCAGAUAAGUAGACUGUUAUGUUGAAAAAAGGAAAGAGACUACUCUUUUGUUACUUACAGUACAGAUAUAUGCUAUAACAUAUUACCUUUAUGCUCUCGAUUUCAGUAUACGCCUGCGAACAAGUAAGUCAGUAAUAUCAAUGCCUAAGAAUUACUUUGUUUGCCAUGCUAAUCAUUACAUCAGAGAGCAAUGGAUAUAGAAGAAAUAUGUAAACAGUUGUCCCUAGAAGAAAUAUGCAACAACUUAUUCAGGUUACUUAAUUAAUAACGCAUCUAUAUCAUUACAUACACAUACUGAAUGUGCCUUUUGAGAGUGAGCUUCUGUCAGUACCUCACACUUAUCUUAUAUGCCAUUCCAACUAUCUGUUGCAGUAGAGAGCAAGGGACAUAUAAGAAAUCUCCAGGCAGCUUCACUUAGAUGCAUCAUCUUCUGCUAGGAGUCAGCUUGAAGAACGACCUUCUCAGGUUAAUUCUUGGGAGACUGCAACUGACAUGCUGGAUGGGGAAUAACCAAAUUUGUGGACAAAGACAAAGAGUUCAUCGCAAGGGGUGGUGUUUAGGAUAUAUACACAAAAGAGGAAACUUUUUUUGUACAGAACCAAAUUAUAUGAUGUAUUUGACCACUAUUUCUAAGAAAUGUUCAUCAUGUAUUCAGUACAUUUUAUUGUGUCACUUUUUUGAGGGGUAGCUUUAUUCAUCAAACAUCACAAAGUGUGCGAUAGAGUUCAUCAAACCAGGCUUUAUUGUGUCACCUAUGUUUACCU